CUGGGCGACAGAGCCAGACUCCAUCACAAAAAAAAACAAAAACAAACAAACAAAAACCAACCCUCCCAGAGCUCUCAGCUCACUCGGUAAAAGCCAGGUCCUGACACGGGCAUUCGUGGUCCCACACGAGAGCCUGCCUGCUGCUUCUUCAAUCACACCUCUUACCACCCAUGGCCCCUUGCUCACUCCACUCGAAACCCGGAGGUCUCCUUUCUGUUUCUGCCUCAGGACCUUUGCACUGGCUGUCUUCCAACCUGAAAGGUUGCUUUUGCCCUUGGUUCCUCCAGGUCUUGACUCAAAUGUCAUCUUACCAGUAAAGUCUUUUCACCUUGGCAGUUUUUAUCCCUCUUUCUUGCUCAGUUUUUGUUUUAUAUUACAUUGCACUUAACACCAUUCCAUACUUAAUACCAAACAACGUCUUCUUUGUUUAUUAUCUGUCUCCCCCUAAAAUGUAAGUUCCAUGAGAUUUUUUUUUUUCAUUGCUAUAUCCAAAAUGCCUAGAGUUGUUACUGGAACAUAGUAGGUGGUCUGUACACAUGAACCAAAUGAAUGAGUUAUUUUGAAGAUCAAAGACAAUGAAUGUGAAAGUACUGUACAAAUGUACAAUGUUUGGUUAUUCAUAUGAAAAUGAAGUUUCCUUGAUACACCAAAGUCUACACCAGUAGAAUCGAAUUUGUGAUGUUUGAAAAAAGCAAAUAACAAAAAUAAAAAUUUUCAGUUGGAAAACU
rnacentral:lncRNA from 10 species